UACGUAGGGUGCAGACGUAUGAAUUGAACUGGGCGUAAAGCGUGCGCAGGCGGUUUUGUAAGUCUGUCGUGAAAUCCCCGGGCUUAACCUGGGAAUUGCGAUGGAGACUGCAAGGCUGGAGUCUGGCAGAGGGGGGGUAGAAUUCCACGUGUAGCAGUGAAAUGCGUAGAGAUGUGGAGGAACACCGAUGGCGAAGGCAGCCCCCCUGGGUCAAGACUGACGCUCAUGCACGAAAGCGUGGGGAGCAAACAGG
rnacentral:rRNA from 1 species